GAGGAUCUAUCUGUCUCUUACAAUAAAUCAAUUAAACUGAUCUCCUAGUAAAAAAGCUAGAAUCCACUCAUAAGACCAGAAGACCCUGUGAAGCUUAAACUAAACUAUUAAACCCUAUAAUACCUACUUUCGGUUGGGGCGACCUUGGAAAAAAAAAGAACUUCCAAACAUAUGACCACACUCAUACACAGGCCCACAAGCCUCAUAAUGACCCAGUACAACUGAUAAUUGAACCAAGUUACUCCAGGGAUAACAGCGCCAUCUUCUUCAAGAGUCCAUAUCAAAAAGAAGGUUUACGACCUCGAUGUUGGAUCAGGACAUCCUAAUGGUGCAGCCGCUAUUAAGGGUUCGUUUGUUCAACGAUUAAUAGU
rnacentral:rRNA from 1 species